rnacentral:rRNA from 1 species
CCGUCAGACGAACGCUGGCGGCGUGCUUAACACAUGCAAGUCGAACGAUGAAGCCCUUCGGGGUGGAUUAGUGGCGAACGGGUGAGUAACACGUGGGCAAUCUGCCCUUCACUCUGGGACAAGCCCUGGAAACGGGGUCUAAUACCGGAUAACACUCUGUCCCGCAUGGGACGGGGUUGAAAGCUCCGGCGGUGAAGGAUGAGCCCGCGGCCUAUCAGCUUGUUGGUGGGGUGAUGGCCUACCAAGGCGACGACGGGUAGCCGGCCUGAGAGGGCGACCGGCCACACUGGGACUGAGACACGGCCCAGACUCCUACGGGAGGCAGCAGUGGGGAAUAUUGCACAAUGGGCGAAAGCCUGAUGCAGCGACGCCGCGUGAGGGAUGACGGCCUUCGGGUUGUAAACCUCUUUCAGCAGGGAAGAAGCGAAAGUGACGGUACCUGCAGAAGAAGCGCCGGCUAACUACGUGCCAGCAGCCGCGGUAAUACGUAGGGCGCAAGCGUUGUCCGGAAUUAUUGGGCGUAAAGAGCUCGUAGGCGGCUUGUUGCGUCGGUUGUGAAAGCCCGGGGCUUAACCCCGGGUCUGCAGUCGAUACGGGCAGGCUAGAGUGUGGUAGGGGAGAUCGGAAUUCCUGGUGUAGCGGUGAAAUGCGCAGAUAUCAGGAGGAACACCGGUGGCGAAGGCGGAUCUCUGGGCCAUUACUGACGCUGAGGAGCGAAAGCGUGGGGAGCGAACAGGAUUAGAUACCCUGGUAGUCCACGCCGUAAACGUUGGGAACUAGGUGUUGGCGACAUUCCACGUCGUCGGUGCCGCAGCUAACGCAUUAAGUCCCCGCCU